rnacentral:rRNA from 1 species
UCGAGAAUUUUUCUCAAUGGGGGAAACCCUGAAGGAGCGACGCCGCGUGGGGGAUGAAUGGCUUCGGCCCGUAAACCCCUGUCAUUCGGGAUCAAACGUUAUUCAUAAAUAAUGGGUAACCUGAUUGUACCGGAAGAGGAAGGGACGGCUAACUCUGUGCCAGCAGCCGCGGUAAUACAGAGGUCCCAAGCGUUGUUCGGAUUUACUGGGCGUAAAGGGUGCGUAGGCGGUGGGGUAAGUUUGAGGUGAAAGCUCCGGGCUCAACCCGGAAAAUGCCUUGAAAACUAUCCGGCUAGAGGGUUGGAGGGGAGACUGGAAUUCUCGGUGUAGCAGUGAAAUGCGUAGAUCUCGAGAGGAACACCAGUGGCGAAGGCGGGUCUCUGGACAACACCUGACGCUGAGGCACGAAAGCCAGGGGAGCAAACGG